UACGAAGGGGGCUAGCGUUGCUCGGAAUUACUGGGCGUAAAGCGCACGUAGGCGGAUUGUUAAGUCGGGGGUGAAAUCCUGGAGCUCAACUCCAGAACUGCCUUCGAUACUGGCGAUCUUUGAGUCCGGGAGAGGUGGGUGGAACUGCGAGUGUAGAGGUGAAAUUCGUAGAUAUUCGCAAGAACACCAGUGGCGAAGGCGGCUCACUGGCCCGGUACUGACGCUGAGACGCGAAAGCGUGGGGAGCGAACAGG
rnacentral:rRNA from 1 species